rnacentral:rRNA from 1 species
CUACGGGAGGAGCAGUGGGGAAUAUUGCACAAUGGGGGAAACCCUGAUGCAGCGACGCCGCGUGAGCGAAGAAGUAUUUCGGUAUGUAAAGCUCUAUCAGCAGGGAAGAAGAAUGACGGUACCUGACUAAGAAGCACCGGCUAAAUACGUGCCAGCAGCCGCGGUAAUACGUAUGGUGCAAGCGUUAUCCGGAUUUACUGGGUGUAAAGGGAGCGCAGGCGGUCUGGAAAGUCUGAUGUGAAAGCCCGGGGCUCAACCCCGGGACUGCAUUGGAAACUUUCAGACUAGAGUGUCGGAGAGGUAAGUGGAAUUCCUAGUGUAGCGGUGAAAUGCGUAGAUAUUAGGAGGAACACCAGUGGCGAAGGCGACUUACUGGACGAUAACUGACGCUGAGGCUCGAAAGCGUGGGGAGCAAACAGGAUUAGAUACCCCGGUAGUC